AUUAUCGUGAUGUUCCAGAGUUACGAAAUAUGAAAAGAACAUUCCUUGGUUUUUCACAUGUAAAUAAUUCUCUUUUCUUUUCCUGCAUGGCAAUAUCAGUCACGAGAUGUCUUGAAGACUUUAAUCUAGUCAAGUCAUAAAUACCAUUAGUAUUCCAAAAAAGCCUCAGCUUUUCCUCAGUAGCUGUAGAAAAAGAAUAAGAGACAAUUUUGACAAUGCAAUGCAAGAAGAGUUAUAUUCUUGCUAAUGCAGCUUAGCCCUGAAAAAAGGAACUCUACCUUGAUUUUUCCAUGGUAUAAGAGGAAGAAGAAAGAAAUUCUGUCAGGUUUUCAUGAUUCUUCUAUCAUAAUUUGUAACAGUAAAAUAGAUUUCCAGUGUUUCCUGACUCUGGUUUUGAAGACCUGAUAAUAGCUUGUAGAAUGCUGUCUCAUCUGAUGGGUCCAUUAUCCAAUACCAUAUUGUCAAUCACUUCAGACUCUCUUUCCAUUCGGUUUUCUUGAAAAAUGUAGGUGUGGUUUACUAUUGCCUUCUCUCAUGCAGUUGACAUGUUGCCUUUGCAAUUCUCAAUAAAGUGAUUAUCUGCC